AGGUGGCUGCCUGGUGCGUCAGGUCGCUUUAUCCCCGGGGCCGAUAAUCAUUCCUCGAGGGGGCUGUCCCUACCGGCGCCGUGGUGCCGGCAUAUGGCUCCCACCUGUUUGCACAGGUCACGAGGGAUAGCAUUCACCAACGGCCAAGGCGGCCAUCUU
rfam:Alpha proteobacterium AAP38 AAP38_Contigs_35, whole genome shotgun sequence.